rnacentral:rRNA from 1 species
GAUGAACGCUAGCUACAGGCUUAACACAUGCAAGUCGAGGGACCGGCGCACGGGUGAGUAACACGUAUCCAACCUGCCCUUUACUCGGGGAUAGCCUGUCGAAAGAACGAUUAAUACCCGAUAUAAAGGAUGGGGAUGCGUUCCAUUAGGUUGUUGGUGAGGUAACGGCACACCAAGCCUUCGAUGGUUAGGGGUUCGGAGAGGAAGGCCCCCUGGAUUGGAACUGAGACCCGGUCCACACGCGUACGGGACGCAGGAGUGAGGAGUAUUGGGAAAUGGGCGCUAGCCUGAACCACCCAAGUAGCGUAAAGGAGUAAGGGUUAUGGGUGUUCAUCUUCUUUUAUAGAAGAAUAUGUAUUUUAUGAAUAAGGAUCGGCUAACUCCGUGCCAGCAGCCGCGGUAAUAC